rnacentral:rRNA from 1 species
GAUGAACGCUGGCGGCGUGCCUAAUACAUGCAAGUCGAGCGAACAGACGAGGAGCUUGCUCCUCUGACGUUAGCGGCGGACGGGUGAGUAACACGUGGAUAACCUACCUAUGAGACUGGGAUAACUUUGGGAAACCGGUGCUAAUACCGGAUAAUAUAUUGAACCGCAUGGUUUAAUAGUGAAAGACGGUUUUGCUGUCACUUAUAGAUGGCUCCGCGUUGAAUUAGCAAGUUGGUAAGGUAACGGCUUACCAGGGCAACGAAGGUAAGCCGACCUGAGAGGGUGAUCGGCCACACGGGAACUGGGACACGGCCCAGACUCCUACGGGAGGCAGCAGUGGGGACUCUUCCGCAAUGGCCGAAGGCCGGACGGGGCAACACGGCGGGAGUGAUGAAGGUCUUCGGACCGUAAAACUCUGUUAUUAGGGAAGACCUAAUGUGUAAUUAACAAUGCACGUCUUGACGGUACCUAAUCAGAAAGCCACGGCUAACUACGUG